UGCAAGUCGAGCGGUAGAGAGGUGCUUGCACCUCUUGAGAGCGGCGGACGGGUGAGUAAUACCUAGGAAUCUGCCUGAUAGUGGGGGAUAACGUUCGGAAACGGACGCUAAUACCGCAUACGUCCUACGGGAGAAAGCAGGGGACCUUCGGGCCUUGCGCUAUCAGAUGAGCCUAGGUCGGAUUAGCUAGUUGGUGAGGUAAUGGCUCACCAAGGCUACGAUCCGUAACUGGUCUGAGAGGAUGAUCAGUCACACUGGAACUGAGACACGGUCCAGACUCCUACGGGAGGCAGCAGUGGGGAAUAUUGGACAAUGGGCGAAAGCCUGAUCCAGCCAUGCCGCGUGUGUGAAGAAGGUCUUCGGAUUGUAAAGCACUUUAAGUUGGGAGGAAGGGCAUUAACCUAAUACGUUAGUGUUUUGACGUUACCGACAGAAUAAGCACCGGCUAACUCUGUGCCAGCAGCCGCGGUAAUACAGAGGGUGCAAGCGUUAAUCGGAAUUACUGGGCGUAAAGCGCGCGUAGGUGGUUUGUUAAGUUG
rnacentral:rRNA from 1 species